rnacentral:lncRNA from 1 species
GAUUUUGCUUAAAAUUAGAGAUUACUUUGGGGAGAAUAGUGGUCUUUGCAAUUUUGAAUCUUCCUACCCAAGAACAUGAAAAACAGGAUGAAGUUGUCUAUUACGAUCCAUGUGAAAGUCCAGAGGAACUUAGUCAUUGACUGUGGUGGGGCUGCAGGACGAUAAGAAUUCAGAAGUGAAAGAACUCAGAAGGCAGUGCCAGCAGCUGGAGUCUGUUAAACGGGGCAGUCUGUGUCAAAAGAGCUUCUCUCCAGAGUAGAAAGCGCUAACAGGUUGUAUAUGUGAGCCACAUUUUAUUGCAAGUGUUUGAAAGACUAUUGCAAAUAUCGGAUAUUGCCAGACAGUUGGUAAAAAGCAAAUUGAGUCUAUUGAGAAAUUAAUUCACCAGCUGAAGGAAGUACAUUUGCCUUAGAGUCAUCAGAUAUUCUACCCACCAGACUCAUCUCCGAGAUAGCAUCCUAAUGAGCUUCCUAAACCAACUAAACAUAAGCAGGAAGCAUCCAUCAGUCGUCAAAACUGACUCUUUUCAGCCAAUCAGCUGACUGCACAAACUGUAUGGCAUUGAGGAAAGGAAGAACAUUCUGAAAGUUUUUUUCUUUUUUCAUUCUGUCCUCAUUCUGUUGGUUUCUCGGUUUUACGGAUGCAGGAUCAUGCACAGAACCCUGUAAAUGAGCAUAGUUCGUUUAAGUAUAUAAAGUGCUUUCAGUGGAUAAAAUGAAUUUUAACAGGCUUAAGUGAUGUGCCUAAAUGCACACAAUUAAUGCAUGGCUGGAAUUCAAAAUCAUGUCUUUUCCUCUGUUCUGAUUGUUUCAUAAAUAUGGGUUGUUUUAAUGUGUGGCUGGAAUUCAAAAUUGUGUCUUUUCCUCUGUUCUGAUUGUUUUAUAAAUACAGGUGUAGUGAUUGAUUUUCUACCCACCAUGACAGGGAAUAGGUUCAAAACUUAAAACCCUGUUUGUUUUAUAAUUAGGUAGACUCAAAUGACAGGUCAAGGCAGGGAGGGGAGCCAGUCAUUUUUACUCCCAUAUGGGUUUGCUCCUUCAAAGACAGGAUUGGGGUAGCAGUGUCAGUUCCUACAGGUUAUAAUGAUCUUAAUGAUAAACUUAAAUAACCGUAACUGAAUACUUAUAAUGUGCUAGCACUUUUCAUAAUGUAUCCC